GAAAGAUGGCUGAGCUGGUCUAAGGCGCACGACUGGAAAUCGUGUGUACGUUAAUAGCGUACCGAGGGUUCGAAUCCCUCUCUUUCC
rnacentral:tRNA from 2 species